rnacentral:rRNA from 1 species
AUUGAACGCUGGCGGCAGGCCUAACACAUGCAAGUCGAGCGCGCGGCGGACGGGUGAGUAAUGCCUGGGAAUUGCCCAGUCGAGGGGGCUAACAGUUGGAAACGACUGCUAAUACCGCAUACGAUUGGAUUGCCCAGGUGGGAGUAGCUAGUUGGUGAGGUAAUGGCUCACCAAGGCGACGAUCCCUAGCUGGUCUGAGAGGAUGAGCAGCCCAACGGUAACGGGGAAACGGUGCAGACUCCUACGGGAGGCAGCAUUGGGGAAUUUUGCACAAGGGGGGAAACCCUGAUGCAGCCAUGCCGCGUGUGUAAAGAAGGCCUUCGGGUUGUAAAGCACUUUAAGCGAGGAGACGUUACUCGCAGAAGAAGCACCGGCUAACUCCGUGCCAGCAGCCGCGGUAAUUC